UACGUAGGUGGCAAGCGUUAUCCGGAUUUAUUGGGUUUAAAGGGUGCGUAGGCGGGAUGCCAAGUCAGCGGUAAAAAUGCGGUGCUCAACGCCGUCGAGCCGUUGAAACUGGCGUUCUUGAGUGGGCGAGAAGUAUGCGGAAUGCGUGGUGUAGCGGUGAAAUGCAUAGAUAUCACGCAGAACUCCGAUUGCGAAGGCAGCGUACCGGCGCCAGACUGACGCUGAGGCACGAAAGCGUGGGGAUCGAACAGG
rnacentral:rRNA from 1 species